CCCUCAACGCUCCAGCUCCAGGCAGCUGCAAUAGAUGGUGAAGAACUACAGAGAGAGAGAGUGACCUGUUAUCAUUCUAGGUCCAAAAAAUCAGCCACCACUUUGUUUACAAGAAAACAGGACAUGGCAAGUGGGAGAGUGAAAGUAGCUGAAGAGGGGAGGAAAAGAGGUGGUGACAGACAGAUUGCUUCCAGCCCCACAAACAUUGAGAAUUACGCUCCCAUCUGCACUGCCUCAGCAGGAAUUGGACAGCCCGUUCAUCAUGUGGAAAGACUGCACACGGGGCUGCCCAGAAAUGGAUUGCGACAAAGCAAACCUGCUUUCUAUCCGCGUAUGGGGACCAGAAAUGUAGCCACAAAAUGGCCAUGUGGAAGAAAGGUCCCAAUGUGUUCAAUUUUCAGGUUUGGGGCUGGCCUGGAGAGAUCACAGAUAUGCUUUCCAUAGACUCUCCAAAGGACCUAAGCACAUGAAAAACCUUGCCACUGCACACAGCUCUUCCAUGACUCAGUUUCCCAAGAGUGAAAUGAAGAUAAUGACAUCACUGCCUCAGCUGAGGGCUACAAGGCUCUGAUAUUUGUUAUACAGAAGAUGGAAACUUGCAAACACAGAUCGCAGAGCCUGCAGGAGAAAGGAAUGAAUCUGUCCCACAGCAUUUUCUCAGAAGCCCAGCUCAUUCCUGCCUACAGUGCCAGUGACUGUUUCAACUGAACAUUUGACAGACUGGACGGCAUGCAUCCUUACAAUAUCACUAACAUAGUAAUUUUGCCUUCUGCAGCUCACAAAUGCAGAAUCCAGUCACAAAAAUGCUGUGCGCCACCUUCCCAAGGUCGCAAAAGCAGUGCAUGGCACUGCAGAGAUCUCCAGGCCUCCUGCAUUAAAUGCACAGCUGCCUCUCUCCACUUUCUUGCAACUGAAAUCUAGUAUUAGUUCCUGGAGUCACCCAUCCAGUACCUUGAAAAAAUAUGAUGUGCUCCAAAGCUGUUACAAAGCAAGAUAGCACGAGUAAAGCAAUUCCCAAUAAAAAGGAAAGUUCAAAUUUCUUCAUCUUUGACUUGUGCAAAAGACAAGAAAUACUUAAUUUUUCCUGCCCAAACACUACGUGAAAAC